AAGUCGCGGUCCUUUGGUUGGGCCUCGCUUUGACAGCGUCCCCGCCCCCGCGCGUCGCGCAGCCAAGCGGGCGGGUGCCGCGCCUAAUUGCCCCACGCCACGCGAGGUCCGCGAGGCUGCGGCGGCCGGCCAGGGCGGGGCAUAGCUUUAGGAUCUUGCUGACUCAACGCGGACAGCCAGGGUUUCCCAGGUGUCCCCUCCCCGUACGGGAUGCGCGCCCACCAGGUGCUGUGGCUCCCUAGGCCCCCCUGCAGUGAUGAAACUGCCUUUAGAGAGCUUUGCCUCUGGUUCUGACGUAAUGGCCCGGCAUCUUCAUCACCAACCAAGUAAAAGCGGUUGAGUUAAAAAGCUGGGUGAUUAUGUUUUGCAAACUCAAACUGACUCAUAGUCACCUUCCAACCCCACAGACAUUCAACAGCCAUUUCAACUGCUUCUGCCCGAGUCCUGCCCCAUUGGUUUCCAGCCUAGAAGCCAAAGAUUGAAAUAUCCAGGCGUCAGAAGAUGCAGCUCCCACCUGAGGCCAGGCCCACACUGAUAGAAUUUCCUUCGUUCACAGGUUUCUGUGGUGUCGUCACCUCCUACCAAUGCUGCCCAGCCAUGUUUCCAUGGCUACGGGAAAAUAGCAUCCUCCAGUUUAAGGCCGACAUCCUCAAAAAGUUCCCAUCUCCUGCCCUACCCCAAGUGUCAGAAAUGAGAUAAUUUAGACCGUCUUCCUGCCUACCAUCCUAACAGGAAAAAUCAGGGCCAUCUGCCUACAGCCCCCACUCUCUCUACAGAGAGGACUUCUUGCUGACAGCUGAUAUAGGAGCUGUCUCCUAGCCCUGUCCUCUCCAGAGGCUGCAGCUUGGCCUUCCUCCUGGAUGGUCUCCCAUUAGACCUUCGUCCUCUUGUCUCUCUUCAUAAAACCUAGCAGAAGAAAAGAACUGGUUCUGAAGUAAAGUUAGGUUGAUGAACGUCUCCCGGCAUACACAUCUCAUCUCUGUGGUACUCUGUUGAGAGGAACCUUGGAACCGCUCCUCCACCCCUUGCUCAGCCCUGCGCUCCCCCAGAAGGAGACUUGCUGCUUACCCACUGCUCCAAAGCACCAGCUUCCACCAGCCUGUGCCCUGGGCCUGUCAAGCCUUUUCUGUGUGCCUGGUCUGUAGCUUGACUCCAGGGCACCAAGGUGAUGUCCCGUUCUGCUUGUACUCAACUCCUACAGCUUCUAUUUCUCUCUACCUUUCUUUUCCCCUCCCAGGUUCGUGGGCCCCAGUGCUCUCUCUUCUGUCUGCCCUUGAAUUCUCCUCUGCUAUAUCUAGCUUUGUCCUGCCUGGAAUGAAUUGAUGUACAUUUGAGCCUCAGCUCUAAAGUCACCUCCCUGGAAAGUAUCUUGGGAGAGGUCAGGUUCUUCUCUGUGCUGUGAUGCCACUCUCUUGGCUCUCACCCAAUACUCUGCACUUGAUCUUAGCCAAAAGGCCGAGAAGCGAUCACCCAAUACUCUGGAAGUUCAACACAGCUUUGCUUCCCAAAUCGGGCAAGAAACACCCUAACUCUGGAAGUCUCGCUUCCUCUUGGGCCUAGAGCUCCCAGGGACUAAGCCACCAACCAAAGAGGAUCUUUGCUCCUGCUCCUUCGCCUGCUUGCUACGUGAGACUGAGUAACUGCUAGAUCCUUGGACUUCCAUUCACAGCUGCGACUGAACAAUUGUUGGGAAUUGAGCUGCCGACUGUGUUCAGACAAACUCACGGACAGGAAGAUGUCAAAGGAGCUUCCGGUGUGGCUGGCAGAGAACAGGUGGCUGGCUGUACAUAAAGCUGGCCAGCCACCUGUGAGCAGUGCCAGAGGCCCUGUCAGAACAAGCCCAAAUUCUGCAGAAGUGUGAGCACAAGACAAGGUUAAGCCAGGCCUGCUGUGAGUCAAUGAUCAAAAAGAAAAACGAGUCUCCCAUCCUCUCCCCCAGGUCCUUCUUGCCUACCUGCAGCCCCAAACUUCUUCUAAACUGACAAGUUCCCAUUACCAGGAUGAAAGCUCCAAGAUGCUCAGAGCUCCUGUCCACAUCUGGAUUCAUGUUCUAGGAGUAUGAAGGAGACAGUGGAAUGGAACACCCAGCAGGGAGGCCUUGUUGACAGCUCUCUCACUCUCUCUCUCUUUCCUCCCUCUCUCUCUCUCUCCCUCUCUCUCUCUCUCUCUCAUGGAGCUGUGCUUAUAUUUGGAAGGCAUGUGCUGGCUCUGGUGAGGGACACUCACUGGCUGGAGACAGAGGAAGGGGCAGGAUAGCAGUUCCUUAUAUAACCAGAUAAAGUGGCUAUCACUAGAGAUAGGGAGGUGACUUUGUAGGCUGCGGCUUCCUGGUAAAGCCACCACCAUCUCUGCUCUUUGCAAGGAUAUGGGUAAAGCCUCUUUGAUUGUCAAGAUGUCUAAGGUGGUUUUUUUCUUUUUCUUUCUUUUCUUUUUUUUUUUUUUUUUUUUUUUUUUUUGUCUUUCGAGACAGGUUUUCUCUUCAUAGCCCUGGCUGUCCUGGAACUCACUUUGUAGACCAGGCUGGCCUCAAACUCAGAAAUCCACCUGCCUCUGCCUCCCAAGUGCUGGGAUUAAAGGUGUGCGCCACCAUGCCCGGCUAAAAUGUCUAAGUUUUAAUGACGCAGUGUCUCGGCCCAUUGAUGACUCUAAUGGAUCCAACUGCUCUUCACCUGGGCUAGGUAACCCUCAGGACCCGAUAGACAACCCAUCUCCUUAGCCUUCCUGCUCUCUGGCAUUCUAUAACAGAGCCCCUGGUACAGCUGUCCUGAGCUCUGGAGCCCUCUGCAGCUACAAGGGAGAGGUGGUGAGCCUCAGAUCAGCUAGGGUGGAACUUACACAUCUUGGCUUACUCUGUAGUAAUAGAUAACAGUGGAGCAGUCCACCUUUCUCCACCCCACCCUUCCCCAAGCUAUGAGCCACACCCCCUUGUGUACAAGCUAUGACUCAAGACUCCUGACUGGCCAUCAGCUGAACCCCUAGCUAGGAAUCUGUUUUGGUUUUUUUUUUUGGGGGGGGGGUGUUUUUGUUUUUUCGAGACAGGGUUUCUCUGUGUAGCCCUGGCUGUCCUGGAACUCACUUUGUAGACCAUGCUGGCCUCAAACUCAGAAAUCUGCCUGCCUCUGCCUCCCUAGUGCUGGAAUUAAAGGCGUGCGCCACCAAGGCCUGGCCUAGGAAUCUGUUUUACCCAAGGCUACAGACUCCAUCCUGCUGGGUGAGAUGAAGAAGGCGAUUAAACCAGCACUCCCCAGCCACUCUGCAGGCCUGCUACUUUCAGGAUUAUUCCCAGUAGGUGGAAUGCUCUCUGGCACCUGCUGUGGGAACUCCAGGAACAAGAGAAAUGAAGAGGCCAGUCCAGAAAGCAAGUGAGGGUGAGAACUGGGAGGAGACAGAAGUGGUAGGGGGCAGGCAGACAGCCCCUUUUGUCUUUCUACUGCAGACAGUGACAGAAAAGGCUCAGCAGCCUUUGGACCAGAUGUGUUGACAGCCCCUUGGCCCAUAGCCUAGCCUAGAGACCCCUAGGGUAGGGAUGUCACCAGAGUUCCCCCUCCUAGUGGGUGUAUGGCAAAGCUCUGCCUCCAGAUCUGUUACAACUUCAACCCUGCCCCAUACUUCAUUGUCUGGUCUUCCAUCUUAAAGCAGGACCCGAGGAAGGAGUGCAGUAAGCAGGCUUUCACCCAAGUAGAAGGACAUCCUUCUCAGUCUUUCAGUCCAAUUUCCCCUGGUCAGAUGGAGAAACUGAGACCAGACUGUAGAGAGAGCUUACAUAGGUGCACGAUUCAAGUUGUGAGGAGGUCCAAGCCACAAUGUACCCCUUGAAUGGGAAAAAGCCCCCAGGAUCCUGCACUGUGUAUUCAUAGCAAAUGCUGAGGCCUGGCCUGCAGAGCCAGGAACUGAGCUGUGAUGAUGACAGGGCCCAGAUGCCUCGGGGGCCCAGACAGAGUCUCCAUGGGAAUAGCUAAUAUCUCUGCCCUGGCUCUGGAUGGCCUCUGUGAAGGAACAUCAUCUGAUGCUUGUUCAGGUGGGUUAAGACCCCUGCUAGGAGAAAUCUGGGUACAGAAGACAGCACAUAUAUACCUGGGGGCAGAGAAAGAAGAGCCAGGUCCUAUUCCUGGGGACUUCUGAGAUUGGGCAAGGGCUACUAAGAACAGGUGGGAAAGAGAAAAACCAGGAGAGACCAGCUGGAAUAGGCCUUCACACAGUGUAACCUGAGGAGGUUCAUCUAUACAGCAGUUCCUAUAGCUGGCCCACCUCUGCUGGUUGGUAGUCCAAAGUUAGUAGUUGGUCCAUGGAAAUAUGUCUCUGCAGCUGGAAUGGUGGCACCACACUACCUGAAAAGGUUGGUGUGAUUUGAAUAAGAAUGGCCCCCAAAGUCUCAAAUAUUAGAAUGCUUAGUCACCAGGUAAUGGCAUGGUUUGAAAGGAUUAGAAGGAUUAGGAGGGGCUGGAGAGAUGGCUCAGCGGUUAAAAGCACUGGCUGCUCUUCCUGAGGUCCUGAGUUUAAUUCCCAGCAACCACGUGGUGGCUCACAACCAUCUGUAAUAGGAUCCAAUGUCAUCCUCUGGAGUGUCUGAAGACAGCUGCAGUGUACUUAUAUACAUUAAAUAAAUAAAUAAAUAAAUAAAUAAAUAAAUAAAUCUUCCUCAUGCCAAGCCUAAGCACUCAUGCUGUUCUCUCUCUCUCUCUCUCUCUCUCUCUCUCUCUCUCUCUCUCUCUCUCUUUCCUCUCUCCUCUCUCUCUCCUUUCUCCUCUCUCCUCUCUCCUCUCUCCUCUCUCUCUGCCUCCCCUCUCCCCCCUCCCCCCAUCUCUGGAUCAGGAUGUAGCUCUCAGAUACUUUUCCAGCACCAUGUCUAUCUGGUCUGCUACCAUGCUCUCUGCUACCAUGAUGAUAAUAGACUAUGCAUCUGAAACUGUAAGCAAGCUCCCAAUUAAAUGCUAUCUUUCAUCAGA